ACUGCGCGAGUAACCAUAGUUACUUGGAAUCAAGAUCGCGUAGUUCGUGAACGGAAUCCGCCAUUUUGAAGUGUCGGCUUUGCAUUGGUUUUUCCCAUCUUCGCUGGUGAAUCCGACAAUCUAGAGGAAGACAUCAAAAGAAGGCUUUUGAAUGCUUUGGAAACAAUUUCUCCAAGAAGUAGAUGAAUUUACGGACAAACGUAAUCCCCCAAAGCAGUUGUUAGGGCUGGCAUCCAAACAUUCUUGAGCCAUGGAAACCAAAAGUGGAAUGUUUUGCUUAACACCUACUUUGAACAGAAUUUUACCAAGGGAAAAAAUAUCACUGGCUUCAUUAAUUCUUUGCAGGAGGAAAGGAGCUGUCACAUGCUUUUCCAAAAUCGAUGAUGUAGCCAUGUUUGUUACUCACAAGAAAAUUAUUAGCCUUCAAAUCACAGUGAAGAAAGCCUUUUGUGUGAAUAUGUGAAAGGGCUUCUGUCAAAUCAU